UCUUCUAGUUUUUGGUAUGAUGAAUUUAUUUAUGAUGUUUUUCAUUUUAUUCAUGAGUAGCUAAGUUUAUUAGUUAAGGUUAUGGAAGCCUUGUAGAAUACAAUCUAUCACUUUGGGUUUUGAAUUUACUAUGCAUUGACUUGUUUAUAUCAUACUCUCUUUGCUUAUCUUGAAUUCUCGUGGUUGCAAACAUAGAGGAUAUGCCUU
rnacentral:lncRNA from 1 species